UACGGAGGAUGCGAGCGUUAUCCGGAUUUAUUGGGUUUAAGGGGUGCGUAGGCGGGCUUUUAAGUCAGCGGUAAAAAUUCGGGGCUCAACCCCGUCCGGCCGUUGAAACUGGGGGCCUUGAGUGGGCGAGAAGAAGGCGGAAUGCGUGGUGUAGCGGUGAAAUGCAUAGAUAUCACGCAGAACCCCGAUUGCGAAGGCAGCCUUCCGGCGCCCUACUGACGCUGAGGCACGAAAGUGCGGGGAUCGAACAGG
rnacentral:rRNA from 1 species